rnacentral:rRNA from 1 species
GACGGAGGAUGCAAGCGUUAUCCGGAAUGAUUGGGCGUAAAGCGUCCGCAGGUGGCAGUUCAAGUCUGCUGUCAAAGACCGGGGCUUAACUUCGGAAAGGCAGUGGAAACUGAACAGCUAGAGUAUGGUAGGGGCAGAGGGAAUUCCUGGUGUAGAGGUGAAAUUCGUAGAUAUCAGGAGGAACACCAGUGGCGAAGGCGGCUUCCUGGACACCAACUGACGCUGAGACGCGAAAGCGUGGGGAGCAAACAGG